rnacentral:piRNA from 1 species
CUGUGUAAAUAUGGCGCCUGU